rnacentral:sRNA from 1 species
UCAAAAAACAAAAACAAAACAAAAUGAAAAACUUUUUUAAAGAUUUAAGAAAUCAAAGAUGACCUCUAAGCCUGCUGACACUAAACUGAGAGAGAGAUAAAUAAAAGGCCUGGGAUAUAAGAAAUGCAGGGUGCAUGAGGAAACAGCUCUCAAUAUGAAAUGGAGCAGCGCGAAUUAAUUAUAAGCUGGAGAAAGCCAGGUGGAAAGAUGGCUACUGAAGCUAAGGGUUAGACUGCGUCGUUCAGAGAAGCUAAGGGUUAGACCGCGUCGUUCAGAGAAGCUAAGGGUUAGACCGCGUCACUCAGAGAAGCUAAGGGUUAGACCGCGUCACUCAGAGAAGCUAAGGGUUAGACUGCGUCGUUCAGAGAAGCUAAGGGUUAGACCGCGUCACUCAGAGAAGCUAAGGGUUAGACUGCGUCGCUCAGAGAAGCUAAGGGUUAGACUGCGUCGUUCAGAGAAGCUAAGGGUUAGACCGCGUCACUCAGAGAAGCUAAGGUUAGACCGCGUCACUCAGAGAAGCUAAGGGUUAGACCGCGUCGUUCAGAGAAGCUAAGGGUUAGACCGAGUCACUCAGAGAAGCUAAGGUUAGACCGCGUCACUCAGAGAAGCUAAGGGUUAGACCGCGUCACUCAGAGAAGCUAAGGGUUAGACCGCGUCGUUCAGAGAAGCUAAGGGUUAGACCGCGUCGUUCAGAGAAGCUAAGGUUAGACCGCGUCGUUCAGAGAAGCUAAGGGCUAGACCGCGUCAUUCAGAGAAGCUAAGGGUUAGACCGCGUCAUUCAGAGAAGCUAAGGGCUAGACCGCAUCACUCAGAGAAGCUAAGGUUAGACCGCGUCAUUCAGAGAAGCUAAGGUUAGACCGCGUCGUUCAGAGAAGCUAAGGGUUAGACUGCGUCACUCAGAGUCAUUCAGAGAAGCUAAGGGUUUGACCGCGUCGUUCAGAGAAGCUAAGGGUUAGACCGCGUCGUUCAGAGAAGCUAAGGUUAGACCGCGUCGUUCAGAGAAGCUAAGGGCUAGACCGCGUCGUUCAGAGAAGCUAAGGUUAGACCGCGUCACUCAGAGAAGCUAAGGGUUGGACCGCGUCACUCAGAGAAGCUAAAGGCUAGACCGCGUCACUCAGAGAAGCUAAGGGUUAGACCGCGUCAUUCAGAGAAGCUAAGGUUAGACCGCGUCAUUCAGAGAAGCUAAGGUUAGACCGCGUCGUUCAGAGAAGCUAAGGGUUAGACCGCGUCGUUCAGAGAAGCUAAGGUUAGACCGCGUCACUCAGAGUCAUUCAGAGAAGCUAAGGGUUUGACCGCGUCGUUCAGAGAAGCUAAGGGUUAGACCGCGUCGUUCAGAGAAGCUAAGGGUUAGACCGCGUCGUUCAGAGAAGCUAAGGUUAGACCGCGUCGUUCAGAGAAGCUAAGGGUUAGACUGCGUCGUUCAGAGAAGCUAAGGGUUAGACCGCGUCGUUCAGAGAAGCUAAGGGCUAGACCGCAUCACUCAGAGAA